rnacentral:tRNA from 1 species
GAAGUGUUAGUCUAAAAAGACAGUUGAUUUCGACUCAACAGAUUAUGGCUCAACCCAUAACACUU